UCUUCUCCUAACAUCCUAUUUCCCGGCUGAUUGUCCUCCAAUCUCCUUAAAUGUAUAUUUCUCUGAAAACGUGUGACACUUACUCAUUUCGAAUCCGUGCCGCUGUGAUAAAACCAGAGAGCCGUGUGCAUGGGAGUCCUACUGAUUAUUAUGUUCAGAUUUAUUUUAUAAGACAGAGGCGUGCCCGCUGGGAGCCACAGAUUUGCAAAUCGUGUGUUGUUAUUGUUCUCCAGUACAAUAGUACCAUAUUUCACAGUCAUAGGUUUAUUUAACUGAUUACUUUGCUCCAUCUUUUGUUAUGUGUUAUAUUUUCCCGAGCAGCUGUUACCUUCCAGCGGGAAUCCCCUCACCUGUGCCCAUCCCCAGCUGCAGAUUAUUUGAGGCGCUCACUGCGGCAAGUCUUUCUCCUGCUAGACCAUUUGACCAGCUGCACCAGGAAGCGGCCCCCCUUCGGCACUCCGAGUGUCUUGUGGAACUGGAUCUAUCAUUUUGGAUUUGGCAGUCAGUGUGGGGAUCUAGGGGCUGACUGAACAUCCCAAGAGAUGAACAAAUCUUGACAUUAUGUGUAGGAAGAGAAAACAGCGGGGGUUAACUGGAACAGAGGUUCUCAAUGUCACAACUGCACAAUGUGUUCAGGAAAGUCCCAGUCUAAACUGGGAGAGAGAGAAAAAGGUGCGGGGAGGAAUGGACUUCUUGAUAUUUGCUUUCCCACUGGAAAUUGCAGCAAGACAUUAAGCAACAUGGAUUUUCUCCACUUAGUUGACUUAGAACAGCUGCUCACCAAUUUCUUCAGUCCCGGGAGGAAAAGCGUAACUUUGCCCUGGGUCUGAGCAGCUUUUCAGAAGCAAUCCAAGUCAACCUUCCACUCAAUGACUUCAUUCAAAGCUGGUUUAUAUCAUGAAGAGAAACUCCAUUUAUUUAUUUGUAAUAACUUCAGGGUUUUAUGGACCUGCAAGGGGAUGUAAUUUAAGAAAACAGCGGCAAGCUUUUUCAAAUACCAAGGUUUCAAAAUAGGCCCUGUAAAAAACUUGUCAAUGGAAAGAGUUCAUUAUUAAAAAUCAAAAACUGCAGCAAAACAUCUUUGUAGAGGACUUUGGAGUGAGAGCUUCUGAAACUUUCUGUCUGCAAUACAUAACCUUUAAAUGGCUUAAGGAAAAGACGAGCAUCCUUCAAGUCACUGAACUGGCUUCUGAACAGGAUUGGUGAUUGUAAACUACACUAUCUCAAUGGCACAAUAAGCACAUUUUUAUUUAAUUUUAUAGAAAGAGAAUUUAACAGCAAUUUUAAUUUAAUUUUAUAGAAAGAGAAUUUAACAGCUCUGAUUUUAAAAAAAUACUCUAACUCCUACUUCAAGCUCAGGAGAGUCAGAGACUGUCCUUUGAGCUCUGCCCCUGAACCAUUCCCACCAUAGACCACUCAAGUGAACUAUCGGUGCCACAAUGUAUGUGGAGAACAAUACAUUCCCAUCUCCCAGGCAUGUUUGGGGGUUUAGAAUACUUUAGAAAAAUUAAGAGUCUCAGCUGCUGGAAGGCAGUUCGAACUGGUGACUAAAACAGGAAACCGGCGGACAAAACCCUCGUGUUUCAUUCCCAACCCACUCCAUCAACUUGGGCAAGUCAUUUCACCUCUUGGUGCCUCAUUAUCUAUAAAUGGGAGAAUGCUUACUCCUCAUUGAAAUGCAUGUUGGGGCUCUUGGGCAGAGGAUGUUGUAUAAGUGCAAGAGCCAAUAUAACCAGAAAGUAAAACAGACACAAUCCUUGUUAGUGACUCAGACACUACCACAUGGUGCUUGGUUUCCAUUUGUCUGACAGAACAGACUGGCCAUCCACCCAACAGCAUGGAACAGAAUGUGUUCUCUUACCUACCCACACAGUAGCCAAAGCACAGGCUGCCAAGCUACCCAGACAACUCAUCCCAGCACACUGCUUGUCCACCGAUGUAACACAACACACUGUUUCCCAAUUGGACCACCAUGAAACCCAGCUGUAGGGUGCAGUGACCUCAGGGCUACCAGUUUUUAAUGGCUACAGCAAAGGAAUGUUAACCCUUUCCAUCUUUUUUGUUAAAUUCAGAGGUAAAGAGAAAUAAGUAUUGGUAGGAGCUUAUUGAGAGGGGAGUGUGGCAGCGCUGAAAGUAGGGAGAGGGAGACAGAGAAGUUCAGCAUGAAGGUCGGCAUGGGAGGAAGAGCAAUGAGGGGAACUGGACACUCAGGGAGGCUGGCCAUAAGGAUAAUUUAAUAAUUACCACUCUAAGAGCCUACGGUAGGAGAUCCAGCUACUAUCAGGUAUGCACAGCAGAGAAGUGGCCUGCUGGAUAAGUGCACCUGGGACUGGAUUUAAAGCUGCAGAGCCAGCUAUGUGAAAAGAGUGGCAGUGGGCACACUGCAACCCUUUGAUCUGAGUGACAUCUCAGUACUAACCAAGUAAGAAUACAGAGACCCUGCCCAUGAUGUCAGGAGUUAUGGGUGCCUGUUGGGCUGAGCCAGCCAUGCUAAUCUCUGUGGACAGCACAUAUCAGACAUCUCCUAUAAGGAGAGCACUGUCUCUCCUUAGGAUUUGAGACCAUAACAGGCUUUCAUAGCUUUUGCACAGAACACCAGUGGGGUGGCUAUUACAUCCAUAAUUCUAUUGUUCACUGUAUGGAGAUCCCCAAGGCCAUGUGUGAUGACAGUCCAACUUUGGAAUUGCUGUAUGGGCAGUACUUUAAUAUUCUUUUGCUAUCUAUGUAUUGUGUGUAGUCUUGAGGAUGCCAGCACACAACUAAAUCAACUCUUUAUAAGUCCUCAAAAAUCUUCCAUUGCAAAUAUGGAGUAGAGGAUGGUGCACUUAGUGCUUGUGAAAAGGCAGCAUGACAGUGCAAGAGUCUGAAGACCUCUAUUUAUAGAUCAAGUACAUCAACAAUACAAACUUCCAUACGGCACCUCACUUACAAGUCUGAGCCCUCUGGAGGGGUCACAUAGGAGCAGGAGGAGAAGUUAGUCUCCAUAUUCAUUUGGUUUUAGGCUUCUCUAAUGAGAAUUCCAUCAGGUCUACUACCACUGUUCUCAACCCACCUCCACAAUCCUCCCUUAGUUUUACCGCUGCCCUCCCAUGUGAAUACCAUCCCUCCUCCAAAUAGAGUUGUCUUCUCCAAGCUCUCAAGACUGUUUUUCUUUCCCUGGUUGCAGUAGUCCUGAAAAGUCCAGAAUCCGUCCGUAAAUGACAGGAGCAAAGCUGUCUUCUGGGGGCCGUUAGGGUUGUUGAGGUGGGCAGGCAGCAGAGGGAAAGUGAAUGGGUUCAGGAACUCUGAGAAACAUGAGUAGGCAAGGCAGCAGGGAGGCGGAAAAUGGAAAAUAAAUAUAGAUAAACAAGAGGCUUUUUUCUCUUUUGCUCCAUCAUGCUUUGCAUUAGGGUAGGAACCCCAGUUCUGUGUGGAGAAGAAUUGCUCUCUUGCAAAUGACCCCCUUGAAUCAGGAGCUUUACCAGAGUAACUACCCCAGCAGCAGUGAAAUAAGGCAGGAGAUUAAAAAUCAUAUCAUUAAAAAAACCUCUCCCGUCCCAAGCCUAUGGCAACCUUCACAGCUGACCAAAUGUGCCUUCCAAAUAAAAACAGGGGUAUAUAUUAUGGACCUUCCACUAUGCCUGGGAUGGACUCUUGCGAGCUUUCCUUCCCAAGCCCAUCCCCUGCUGCUCUGGGGCAGAGUGUUCAACUUUCCCACCAGGAUGAGUAAGGAAAAUGCCUUGUUUGGGCUCACAGACUGAAUUGUUUUUCCCAACAAAGCUUCAGCUUGGUUCAAGCAGCCCUGAUAUUUCCAAGUUUUCCAGGGCUUUUUUUCCUCCUCGAAGAACACAUCACCUAGUGUCUGCCAGGCUUCUGCUUCUUGUUUGACAUCCCUUAUUUACAAAGCAAACAGAAUGUUCCUUUUAACACACAUCAUGCUAAGUUUAUUAAUGAAGAAAACAAUCCCAGGGGGUCAACCCAGGGGACCCUUGAAACCUGCCAGCAAAAACUCUUCAAACGCUCAACGCGUCAGAUCCUCCAAAACGAUAUUUCACACAAUGAAGUAAAAAUAAUAUUUUCCUUUUGGCCUUUCCAGCCGCUUUUGGGGCAAGCAGACAGAAAUUAUUUUCUUACUCUGCUCCCAGAGCAGAGAUCUGUAUGAAGCUGCGUUUAUUUGUUUAACACGAUGAUUUCAUCCUAAAUGUCUCGACAGCAAAUAGUUGGUGGUUUAAUAAAGGCCCUUUGAAAGAAAGGCCUGAGCAGUUAUUUGUACAGGGAAAAUGCAAAGUAUGCAGCUCUCAGGAGGAGAGAUAGAAAUGGCUGUUGUGAUUAAGGGGGUGCAGGGAGGACCCUGAACUCCUCUCUGUCUGCAAGGGGAGAACAGUAACUCCUGGGGCUCUGUUUCCUCAGACUGAGCUGCCACAUCUGACUAUAGGGAUGGAAAGAGUCUGACCUUAUUAUUAACAAAUGACUGAUACUCCCUCUCCACCCCAAAGCAAAUACUUUUACAAAAGACAAAGGACCCAUUCUUUGUACAUUGCCAUUAGAUUAUGAAAAUAAUAAAAUGAUGAUAAACACACUUGUAUUGUCUUGUGGCACCAGUACAGUAAUCUGGAGGGAGAAAUAUGUGCUGAGGCUGCUAGAAUAAAUCCUCAGACUUUAUGGGGCUAACUCAGCAUGGGCCAGGUUUUCCAAAGGUAAGUACAGGAUUUGCACCUACCAAAUGCCCAUGUGCACCUGUUGUGCCUGCAUAAACACUCCUCCGUGUCUGCAAAAAUGUCAUUAGCAGAGUGGAUGAAUACGAACACAACUGGGACUGCAAAUUACCCUAUUUGCACACACAAAUGCCUGUUUGCAGGCACAAUGGGUGCACACACAAUUUUUGCGGAUGCAGUUAAUGCAUGCUGUGUGGCAAAAUUUGGCUCUAAAGGCACAGAGAAAUAAAAUCUUGGAGAUAUUUCAUUUGGACUAUUUUCAUCUGGCUGUGCAGUAUUCUAUGUUUGGUUUCUGCAUAUGAGAGCAAACAGUCAUCUGAUUCUUGACAUUGCAUCUGCCUUUAAGUAGAUGUGUGUCUGAACCACAGAGAUUGGAUCAAGAUCAAAAUCCAGAUCCAAACAUUCCCAAAGUUCAAUG